CAAGGGAGAGUUGCUUGUAGGACUGAGAUACGAGGCUGGGGAAGCUGAAGCUCGCGACAGGGUCUUUUUUCCUUUCUGCAAGGAGCAGCAGCCAGUGCAUUUACAGUGCAACAGUCAGCACAGUGCAAAUACCAAUAGGAAUACAAAGUCCCACUCACUGAUUUAAUUGUAUUGCGUUCCCUCUGUGCAAAGGAACACCCCUCCCUCCAGCCCGAGAGCAGUGCGCCGAAGCGUUUGAACCCUGCCGGAUCUUCAGUUUCUUUCUUCGUCCACCUCUUGGAGAGUAGAGCAUAUUUCUAGUCCGCGCAAAACCUUGGCGACUCAGUACAAUUGACCAGAGAACCUACCGCUGGAUUAUUCUACCCCCACCCCCACCCCGUUCCCUUCCUUGCCCCAAAUAAAACAAAACCAGAGAGGCGGGCGUAGCUCGCUGGAACCGAACCGUGCAAAUGUACAUCGUCCUUUUGUUCCUUUGGAAGUCCGAGCUCGGUUUUUGAUUCUAAAGUAAGGUACCUCGCUCUCUUCGGCGACGAGUCCUCCUGCUUGUAAAGAAUCGUCUUUUUCGGCCCCGCCGAAUGGAAGACAAGGAAGAUCGAAGGCAAGAUCGUUCCUGAUUUAGAUGACUGGAUCAGGGGGGUCCACCCGCUGCACAUCAGCUCCCUUGCCGGUUUGGAGAAACGUUGGUUUGGCUUUUCCUCUUUCGGCUCUAGCAAUUGCCAAAAUGGAUCCUACCUUAGAACAAAUCCUCUGCACGGCUUCAACUCUUCCAUGACCCCCUCCCUCCAGUCUUAUUUUUUUACUGCUGCUUCUCUGGAAAGAUUUUUUUACUGUUAAACAGGGUGGGUGGGAGGUAAUAAGAAUAUACAUUUUUCUUAUAAUUCCCCCAACUGCAAAAUAUAGAUGAUUAAAAUUUCCAG
rnacentral:lncRNA from 1 species